AAACCAUUAGAAUUAUUAACCCCAGGAGAAAAAACUACACGGAUGAAGCAUACGUGUUUGCCAUGCAGACAGCAAGAUAUAGAAGUGCUUUCUAAGCGUUAUCCAGAAAGUUAUCUUCAAUUUAAUUAUAACACCAAAACCUUUUUUUUUUAGCCUGAAGCAUACGAGAAUAAUCUUUUGAUAAAUCAAGAUAUAAGACUGUAAAAUGAGACCAAAGCUGUACUUCCAUCAGCAAAUAAUUUGACACUGUUAAUGAAAGUACACUGGAUGUCUACAACAACCCCACACACAGAGCAGUAGACGUGUAAACCUUAUUUCUCUUCUAUUUUUAGCUGUGUUUGGUUGUUAUUGUCAUGAAAUCUCUCUACUUGUCAUUUUGUUUGAAAUCCUGAUGUGGUCAUGUCUAUGACACUUGUCCAUUUCAUUGGUUUUCGUGACAGUGUAAACUAGCAUUGAAGCCGGAUGGCCUAUUUUUAGCAGCUAUUUUGGUUGGAGAGAUCUUCAAGUUGUCUCUUCUUCUAUUUUAUAUUUUGAUUUAAUUUAACAGUAUGUUAACCAAUAAGUUUUCCUACUGAUUUUUCUGCUUGCUGCCAUAUGUGUGGGAGCUGAGAAUAGCAUGCACUGUGGUUCAAAUGGAGCGUGAAGGAGGCAUUAGUCCUUGCAUAUCACCUCUGGCACAAGACCGCGAUGCAGGCGAUCUCUUCCUGGAGUUGAUGUUGAUGAAUUCCUGCAAUCUCUUCCUGGAGUUGAUGUUCGUAGUUAGGUAUAGCAGUGCGCUGGAGCUGAUAGAGAGCAUCUAUGCAAUGGGCGAGACUAAUGCUUUUAUAUAAAGGAACAAUGCAAGGUGUGUAGCAAUUGAAGUUUUCCUUGUGUGUCGCAAAAUUGGAUUCAAUAUUCAAAUCUUAUUGGAAAUUCUUUUUGUUUGUUUGUGAAUGAAACCAAGUCUUGA